rnacentral:rRNA from 1 species
AUGAAUUUGGCCCUCCUAGCUUCUUGGGUGAGUAGAUAUUAUAAUUCUGAGGGCAAAAUUUGGAAGAACAUUAUUGACUCCAAAUAUAAUCCUCAGAGUAGCAACAUUUUUGCAUACUCUGCUACUGGGGCUUCUCCUUUCUGUAAAGGGUUUUGUUGGGCAGCUCAAGCUGCAAAAGUUGGAUUUUCCUGGAAUAUUGGUAAUCGUAAGAGGGUGAGAUUCUGGGAGGAUCACUGGUUUGGUAAUGCUACCUUAGCUACCCAGUAUUGGGACAUUUAUGUCUUAGCUAAUGAGCACAAUAUAACUAUUGACAAGAUCUCGGAUGGAAGCACCCUUAAGCUAAUUUUUAGGAGAUGUUUCACCCAGGAGCUUAUGACCUUAUGGUUUGAGCUACUAGAAAUUGUUAACUCUAUCCAGUUCAAGGAUCAAGAAGAUUCCCUGGUCUGGAAUAUGAAUUCCAAAGGGUUUACACUGUAA